rnacentral:rRNA from 1 species
CCUACGGGGGGCAGCAGUGGGGAAUAUUGGACAAUGGGCGAAAGCCUGAUCCAGCCAUGCCGCGUGUGUGAAGGCCUUCGGGUUGUAAAGCACUUUCAGUGGGGAAGAAAGCCUUGGGGCUAAUACCCUCGAGGAAGGACAUCACCCACAGAAGAAGCACCGGCUAACUCCGUGCCAGCAGCCGCGGUAAUACGGAGGGUGCGAGCGUUAAUCGGAAUUACUGGGCGUAAAGCGCGCGUAGGCGGUCUGAUAAGCCGGUUGUGAAAGCCCCGGGCUCAACCUGGGAACGGCAUCCGGAACUGUCAGGCUAGAGUGCAGGAGAGGAAGGUAGAAUUCCCGGUGUAGCGGUGAAAUGCGUAGAGAUCGGGAGGAAUACCAGUGGCGAAGGCGGCCUUCUGGACUGACACUGACGCUGAGGUGCGAAAGCGUGGGUAGCAAACAGGAUUAGAUACCCCAGUAGUC